GAUGAACGCUGGCGGCGUGCCUAAUACAUGCAAGUCGAGCGAACGGACGAGAAGCUUGCUUCUCUGAUGUUAGCGGCGGACGGGUGAGUAACACGUGGAUAACCUACCUAUAAGACUGGGAUAACUUCGGGAAACCGGAGCUAAUACCGGAUGAUAUUUUGAACCGCAGGGUUCAAAAGUGAAAGACGGUCUUGCUGUCACUUAUAGAUGGAUCCGCGCUGCAUUAGCUAGUUGGUAAGGUAACGGCUUACCAAGGCAACGAUGCAUAGCCGACCUGAGAGGGUGAUCGGCCACAUUGGAACGGAGCCACGGUCCAGACUCCUACGGGAGGCAGCAGUAGGGAACCUUCCGCAAUGGGCGAAAGCCUGACGGAGCAACGCCGCGUGAGUGAUGAAGGUCUUCGGAUCGUAAAACUCUGUUAUUAGGGAAGAACAUAUGUGUAAGUAACUGUGCACAUCUUGACGGUACCUAAUCAGAAAGCCACGGCUAACUACGUG
rnacentral:rRNA from 1 species